ACUGACUUGGAAAACACAGUGUGUGCCUCGUACAAUGCAUGCAGUCUGUGUCCAACAUGAAACUUUUACUGCUUUGUGAAGAGUAUUUUCUAGUCUGGUAGCAUUGUUCCCAUUGGAGGGGCACUCACCAAGUUACUAACUGCAAAAGAGUCAAACUGUAAUUAGCCUGGCUACUUAUAUAUUACUUAAAAAAAAAUCCAGAAGGAUGAAAUUCCCCACCAAAACACAGAUGAAACCCUGAAAUAUUUCAACUUCAAAUGAAUAUGAGUCUCUCCCUUCUACUUUCCAAGAAAGGAUCCAUGCUUAACAGCUACUAAUGGAGCAAAGCAGUUAUUUAGAAGCCCUCAACAUUUGCCUGGGAAAAAAUGAAGAAAAUAAAAAUAGACAUUUUCUGUCACUUCCAUAGGUAAACAUCCCUAGUUGAAUUUCAAAUGUUUGAACUGUAUAUUUCAUAUGAAGUACUUGAUGAUGAUAUGUAUGACAUUUUUAUAAUAAAGCAU